AUAGACUACAGUUCAUUCUUUGGCACUGUAUGUGUGCUUGAAUAUUUUAAUCUAACCCUCUCCGCAAUCGUUAACCUUCGCGUAACGUCCUAAGAUUAACCCAAACAAAACAGAAUGUAUGCAACUUUGCCUACGUUUCAUUUAGACCAUGGCAGCUAAAAAAUCGGUUUGAUAUGCUUUUAUAUCCGCCAAGCUAGAUUUGUACAAGUAGCUAUUUGGUAUCACUUGUGGUAUCGCGUGAGUCAUGCAACCUUCACUAGGCGGUCGAAGCUUAAUGUACGUGCCUUUUUAAUCCUGCCGAGAGGCUUCUCACUCACGGGUCCUGUGACAGGCGAGGAUGGGGUGCUGUUGUAAACCCAUCCCCCUCACCCCCACUGACAGCUCAGUGAGAUGAGGGAGCGCAGAGACGUUGGUAUCACUGCGGCGAGCUAAGUGGCAAACCUGGCUAAGGCGGAGAGGCAUUUUACACAAUGCAGGGUACUUUUCGACUUUGCCAGUCAUCCACCGUGCAGCCCAGCGCUUGAACAGUGAACCACCAAGCACACCACGGUUUAGCGCACAGCUAUCGAACAUUCUCCUGUCUAAACUCCUGCCUGUGAGCGCAGGCUUUUAUUCCUGCCGAGCGGAGGGGAUGGGUUAAGCUUGUGCGAACACCAGCGAAAGGUAAACGUGAAAUUGAUUUAGGAAACACAAUUAAUCUUAUCAGGGGUUCCCCUCUCUACCUUUCCUCUCCGGCUCUUUGGAAGAAAAUUUCUUUGAAGGCUGCCGGUGCCUUUUUUCACAGUUUCCUUCAGCAAAAUGGCUUGUUUCAAAAAAAAAAAAAAAAAAAGAUACUACUAUCUGAUUAUUGGAUUUAUUGCUACUUAUUAUGUUUUUGGCAAUAAGACAGUCUGACUCCUUAGCGCUUAAGAGCUGUCUUUUCAAAGGAUCUGACAUGUGUUUAAUAUUAGUGCUUACCUCAGACGGUGGGAUGGGAAGAAUAAACUAAAGCGUUCUGUCGGGAAUGGGGAACGCUGUCGAGCAAGGGGGCACGGAUUGUAGCCACCGUUCAGACAAAGAGCAAUUUUUAAUUUAUUUAUUUUUUCCCUGGCCCCGAGGAACGUUUGGGACUGUUCAGGGACUGUUAUCAAAUGUUUAUCAUCGAAUUUGAUGUGACUGUGCUUUGCCUCCGGCCCCUCCUCUUAUAUCAAUGGAGACUUUUGUGGAAUUCUAAAACUGGAAGCUGAAAAAUCUCUGGAGGUGAUCGACAUUAGUUAUGUGCAGAGAGUUGCGUGUAACAUUUGCAGACUACCUGCUGUUACAUUGUGCUUCAUAGCUUUAAAAUCUUGGUAUAUUGGAUAAAUGGUUUCUCUCAGCAUCUCCUGAAGGCAGUAUUGUUAAGGUGUAUUUUCCUUUUUUAUUUAUUUAUUUAUUUAUUUAUUUAUUUAUUUAUUUAUUUAUUUAUUAUCCACCAGGGGAAUGGGAAAGUGUUGCCAAACUCAUCAAGUGUCUUACUUGGAACUGUUCAUAGCCCUUGCUGGCCUAUUAAGAACAACCUCAAAAAAAAGCUCAAUAUUUUAAUGUACCAGCGUCCAGAUUUAAUUUAUUAUUGCUGAAAAAUGUUUUUUUUUUUUAAAUUUAUUUAUUUAUUUUUUUUAUUGUUUAAAUCUCUCAGAUUAUAUAAGCUAACGUUCACAACACUCAUUUUUGUUUAUUUUUGUUAAUUUGUUUUGCUCGCUCUUGUCUUAAAAAUAGUUACUCUCCCAAUACUAAUGUGAAUAUCAGUGUAAUUACGUUUAUUAAAUGCAACUUUAUUUUUCUGCCCCUAUAAUUAUGACCGCUACCUUUCUCGCUGAAGGGAUGGCUCUCUUGUUUCUGCAAUGAAAGCGCUUUUGGAACGUUCUGUCUUGUGCUAUCAUCUAAUGCACGUGUCUUGGAUCAGGCCUACUUCGUCAUGAAAAUAUAUCAAGUUUAUUAUUUUAUUUUUUAUCGUCAUUUUGAAAAUAUUUACACUCCCAUUGACUUGUUUGCGGAAAAGUGAUCUAUAGCAGUUUUGAAUGAGCUGCAUUCGAUAGGCUUUUUUUCAAAGCAACGUAACUUUGUAGUCAAUUGCACUGUUUGUCAAAGCUUAGGCUACUGACUUUGAUUAACCGUGAGUUUGUAGUUCUUUUCAAAGCCUUUAAAGUAGCAUGCUAUUUACACGUGUAUGCUCAAGGCAGAUAUUCUUGAAACUCAUUUCUUCAUUUCUGCCAGAGAAUUUAAUGUACUUCUUGCUAAAUGUAUUAUAUUUUGUGCAUGUUUGCUCGCCCCCUUUCAAACCAGGCAUAGGAGAACAGUUAUUCGGAAUCUGGAAAGCAAGCUGUUACGGUUCUUGACAUUGUCAGGUGUGUAUGUGUGCGUGUGUGUGACACUUUGCGACACCGUGUGGCGAACUGUGAGCUCGAUGCUCAGACCCACAGUGGCUUGGCGCCCGCUGUCCAUUUCAAAGGCAGAUGAUGCGUUUGCGUGUCUUUCCACUGAUUGUCGUAUGUGCAGGAAAACGCUUGUGUUUUGUUUAAUGGAAGGUGUAGGCUUUUUUUUUUAUUUUUUUUUUACUAAUACGCGUUGCUUAUUUUGGGUGAGAUUAUUUGUCUACUCCAUGUUCAAUUUACUGACCAUCUCCUUCCCUUCUGUCGUGCUACUUAAGGUGAAAUGAAAUGUAAGUAGCUCAAAGGAAACCUGUACUACCUACAAAAUAUAUUUUCAUCGCUUUAUUUCAUGACAUUGUGAAGCAGUAUAUAGUAAAUUUGAUUCGUACUCAGAAUCAUAAUGAUGUUAGAGAAGCACAACGUUUCAUUGCAUUAUAUUUUAGUUUGUUUUUAUUUCAAAAUAUUUUGAUGUAAAUUGUUCUGCAACUUAUCGCCGCGUUACGUUGUUUCCGGCCUGUGAGUAAUGAAAAUAUAUUAAUUGCAAUUUGUAUGAUUACAAUUUGAACUUUUAAAAAUGGAUUGUAUUGCCGAA